rnacentral:rRNA from 1 species
CCUACGGGCGACAGCAGUGAGGAAUAUUGGUCAAUGGGCGGAAGCCUGAACCAGCCAAGUAGCGUGAAGGAUGACGGCCCUACGGGUUGUAAACUGCCUUUAUAGGGGAAUAAAGUGACUCACGUGUUCGGCUUUGCAUGUACUGUAUGAAUAAGGACCGGCUAAUUCCGUGCCAGCAGCCGCGGUAAUACGGAGGGUCCGGGCGUUAUCCGGAUUUAUUGGGUUUAAAGGGAGCGUAGGCCGGAUGUCAAGUCUGCUGUGAAAGGUCCGGGCUCAACCCGGGAAUUGCAGUGGAAACUGGCAGGCUUGAGUCCGCGUGAGGCAGGCGGAAUUCGUGGUGUAGCGGUGAAAUGCUUAGAUAUGACGAAGAACCCCGAUUGCGAAGGCAGCUUGCU